AGUCUGGAAAGAGAACUUAUUUCAGUCAUACCUGGUUUCCCAAAUAAUUAGUCAUCUGUUUUCUUCUACCUACCACAGGUAGAGUCCUCCAGAAGCAGAUGCUGAGAUGGCGCUCAGAGUGCAAGCUGUUACCUGUGAAGGGAAAGGCAGAGGGAGAAAUGAAACCAUGAUGAAGGCCCCGCAAAACCUCGACCAACCAGCUGAGUUAAUACUCUGUAUUGACUGUGAGGUCUUUCCCAAGACUGGUCAAAAUAGCCAAGCUUUGUAUGCGACCUUGCUCAGUCACUAAUGCGGGCUGAGCCAUGAAGGGCAUAAUCUCAGUGUGGAGAAUAACUGUGGGAUUCUGCAAAAUGCUGAAUGGGAAAGUAGCACAAGAACACAAUAACAAAGAGCCUUUCCUGCUGCAAGGAAGAGUACUCCUGUUGGCAUGGAGAACCUCUAACACUGGGACUGCAAAAUGGCAAACCUGUGAAAAGAAAGAGAUUUCUAUAUUCAGAAAUACAGGAUACCUUUAAAGUAGUGUCAGUUUAAUGUGUGUGUGUGUGUGUGUGUGUGUGUGUGUGUGUGUAUAGACACAUGAUUUUUUUGUCUCUGUAAGUAUGUACAAAUCUUUUAUUUAAAAUCUCUUUGGUUGGGUUUAUGAAAGGUUUCUCUCUUUGGAGUUUGUCUUAAAUAUAAUAAUCCAGGGCUUAUACUCAGAGGGCACAUGUCAAAAUAGCCACACUAUUUAUUAAAUAUUGAAAUAUUUUUCUACCCAUUGGGAAAUGGUAUAGUAGUAAAUGUGAAUGAGAUAAAUUCUAAAAUUAAUUAAUGAAUUUCAGCACAUGUGGUUUUUCUCAGAAACCACACAUCACUGUGAUUCCAAGAUUUUAAAAAUUUUUCUGGUCUGGGCACUGGAGCACAGAACUGGAAGGCCCAUUGAAGAGAUCCUGUUAUUUAUUUCAGGUGUUGAGGAAUUUCUUUUGGGUUCAAAUGUCCCUGGUUGGGAGAAGGGAAAUCACACAGUCACAUUGAGGAGAAAUUUGGUGACGGUUGAAGAGUUUGGGAGAAGCCUGGGGCACAGGCAGCACAAGUGGGGCUUAAAUCACUCAAGUAUGAUUGGGACACUUUGCUUUAUUGGAAAACUCUUCCCUGGUGGUACUGACCAUCCCUGCACCAUGUGCAGAGGUUUAUGAGAAGGGGAUCUCCUGGGAUCCCUUUCAAAGGUCAAAAGAAUGUGAAAUGCAAGGAGUAACAAUGAGACCCUUCUCUCUGUCCCCUCCCUACUGCUCAUAGCCAGUUCUCCCCAUGGAGAAACCUCAAGAUACCCUGGCCCUCCCACCCCUGCCCCUGUCUGCUCCUACAACUCUUCCAAGCACUGGCGCUGGCUGAGUCUGGAAGCAAUUGCCCUUUCUCUUUACCUCUUCUUUCCCAUCUUGCAUUUGUCCUGCUUAUUAACUGGGCUUCAACUGGCUGUCCCCGUCCCAGCACCAGUUGUUUCCUGACUGGACUUUGCAGAGAGGCAACCAUCUCGCCUUUCUUGCGUGGAACAAAGCAGGCAAAACACGCAGAUUCUUAAUCAGGUAACUAGAAUUGGCCAACAACCACCCCCCUUGUCCCCUCUUCCUAACUUUCUUUUGUUUUGAUAGGAUUUAUUAUUAUUUAGGAUGGUAAGGCCAACAUAUCAGGAGACAAUGGCCAUUGGAAAAAAUUAUUAUUAUACACACAGAUCCCAAGUGAGAGAAUACAGGUCAUGCCACUGAGGGCCACAGGGAAGCACCAGGCAGUCAGGAGGCAGAGCGAAAAAACUGCCUUUAGCCAGAGCCUUUAUCAUGUUUUCCAUAUGCAGGGUAAACAGGUUUGGGAUUGACUAGUCUGAAUCAUUUCAGUGGACUUUGGAGCAUAGGAGCUGUCCCAGGUGUCUCACAUCUGGCCCUGCAGUGAUUAGGGCUGGUGGACUGUGGCCAGGAGUGUGAGAGCCUAAUAAGGGAGGUGGUGAGAAGUGUAGACUCUGAACUGGUUGGUUUGUAUUUGGAAAGAUUGGCCCUGGGAGGAUGAUUCCUCCUGAGGGGGAAGAAAGCAAAGGAGGCCAAGGCAAGGUGACUCAGAGAAAUUACCAGGUUGUUUGGAAUAAGGUAUCUCUGGUACAUGCACAUAGGGCAGAUUUUAAAUCAUCAAGUUUGCAGAAACUAGAAACAUGAUUAAUACACUCUUUCCCUCUCAUCCUUUUUUUUUCUCCUCCUCUGGCUUUCCAACUUCUAUCAAUAAAUAUAUGACAAAGGG